rnacentral:rRNA from 1 species
GGAAGUUAAGCGUGCUUGGGCGAGAGUAGUACUAGGAUGGGUGACUAGUUAAGCGUGCUUGGGCGAGAGUAGUACUAGGAUGGGUGACCUCCUGGGAUGUCCUCGUGUUGCAUCCU